rnacentral:rRNA from 1 species
AAAGUUUGAUCCUGGCUCAGGACGAACGCUGGCGGCGCGCCUAACACAUGCAAGUCGAACGGAGUCAAGAGAAGCUUGCUUUUCUUGACUUAGUGGCGAACGGGUGAGUAACGCGUGAGUAACCUGCCCUGGAGUGGGGGACAACAGUUGGAAACGACUGCUAAUACCGCAUAAGCCCACGGCCCGGCAUCGGGCUGAGGGAAAAGGAUUUAUUCGCUUCAGGAUGGACUCGCGUCCAAUUAGCUAGUUGGUGAGGUAACGG